rfam:Candidatus Thioglobus singularis PS1, complete genome.
GGGGAUGACAUGGCUUCGACGAGGAGUUGGAUUUCAAGGAUGCAUGUCGAGGACAAAGAUUGCUCGUAAAAACGUUCUUUAAAUAAUAGUUGCAAACGAAGACAACUACGCUUUAGCAGCAUAAUGCUAACCGUUACUUAGGAGUUGUCUGUACUUUUAGGAUAACGGUCGCUAACAGACUCGCCACUAUUAUUAUUUUAGGAUAAUAGGGUUAAAACCUAAACUAAAAUCGCUUUCUACAUCCCUGUGGGUCGGGUGGUAAAAAGUUAACUCAAUAGACCUUUACUAAGCAUGUAGACUUCUUGACUGAAAGUUUUCGGACGGGGGUUCAAUUCCCCCCAUCUCCACCA